rnacentral:rRNA from 1 species
GUAAAGAGCUCGUAGGCGGUUUGUCGCGUCUGUCGUGAAAGUCCGGGGCUUAACCCCGGAUCUGCGGUGGGUACGGGCAGACUAGAGUGCAGUAGGGGAGACUGGAAUUCCUGGUGUAGCGGUGGAAUGCGCAGAUAUCAGGAGGAACACCGAUGGCGAAGGCAGGUCUCUGGGCUGUAACUGACGCUGAGGAGCGAAAGCAUGGGGAGCGAACAGGAUUAGAUACCCUGGUAGUCCAUGCCGUAAACGUUGGGCACUAGGUGUGGGGACCAUUCCACGGUUUCCGCGCCGCAGCUAACGCAUUAAGUGCCCCGCCUGGGGAGUACGGCCGCAAGGCUAAAACUCAAAGGAAUUGACGGGGGCCCGCACAAGCGGCGGAGCAUGCGGAUUAAUUCGAUGCAACGCGAAGAACCUUACCAAGGCUUGACAUGUUCUCGAUCGCCGUAGAGAUACGGUUUCCCCUUUGGGGCGGGUUCACAGGUGGUGCAUGGUUGUCGUCAGCUCGUGUCGUGAGAUGUUGGGUUAAGUCCCGCAACGAGCGCAACCCUCGUUCCAUGUUGCCAGCACGUCGUGGUGGGGACUCAUGGGAGACUGCCGGGGUCAACUCGGAGGAAGGUGAGGACGACGUCAAAUCAUCAUGCCCCUUAUGUCUUGGGCUUCACGCAUGCUACAAUGGCCGGUACAAUGGGUUGCGAUACUGUGAGGUGGAGCUAAUCCCAAAAAGCCGGUCUCAGUUCGGAUUGGGGUCUGCAACUCGACCCCAUGAAGUCGGAGUCGCUAGUAA